GGAUCCCAUCAGAACUCCGAAAUUAAGCGUGCUUGGGCGAGAGUAGUACUAGGAUGGGUGACCUCCUGGGAAGUCCUCGUGUUGCAUUCCCUUUUUUAAUUUUUUUGCGACUCGUGACAGACAUGACGCACGUGCGCGAUAUAUAUUAACACGUUAUUUAAUUUUUGACGUUCGCGAUACGUUUAAGCUCGCUGCUGAAUACUCACGCCUAGGGCGUGAAAAGCGCGCUGUCAAAUGGUGGAAAAUACGCGUUGCCGCGGUAUAGAGGGAAGGGUGGAAUCCGUGGCAAACUCGUCUCCGUAGUAGAGCGGGAGCGUAAGUAGUGUAGGGCAUCAUCCAUCGUAAGGGAAUGGGAGUGGAAAGCAUAAGGGACGAAGACGGGGGUAACAUGUCGGAUGCGAUCAUACCAGCACAAAAGCACC
rnacentral:rRNA from 1 species